rnacentral:rRNA from 1 species
UACGGGAGGCAGCAGUAAGGAAUUUUCGGCAAUGGACGAAAGUCUGACCGAGCAACGCCGCGUGAGUGAUGAAGGCCUUCGGGUCGUAAAGCUCUGUGGUAAAGGAAGAACACCAUGAAUAGGAAAUGAUUCAUGGCUGACGGUACUUUACUAGAAAGUCACGGCUUACUACGUGCCAGCAGCCGCGGUAAU